rnacentral:sRNA from 1 species
UGAAGUCCUGGGGUUUGGACUCGGCUCCUCCACCUCCACUCAGCACCUGCCUUUCCGCUUCUACGAUCAGGGGCGCCGGGGCAGCAGCGACCCCACAGUGCAGCGCUCCGUGUUUGCAUCGGUGGACAAGGUGCCAGACCCUUCUCUGUGCAGUUGCAUUUCAUACGUGUGCCCAGAGCUGAUGAACAGAGCAGAGCCACCACCCCUUCUCUGCAAUUCUGAAACCCAAACAGCUCUGAAAAUCAAAAUAUUUUUCCUCACUCGUAUGAUGGCAAAACCAAAACCUCCCUUCAGGUAUUUAUGGGCGGGUUUAUUAGAGUCAUUGAUGCCAGUAAUUGUGAGUUUAUGUUUUCGUUUAUGCAAAAAUUCAGUGUUUGGUUUUAGCUGUUCACGACCCAGCUGACAGUGUAACAUAAUACCUAUGUGUGCCCUGCAUGGCCUUUUACCUCCUAAAGAUUCUAAAUUCCAAGACAUAUCUGGCCACAGAGGUUUAGGAUAAGGAGUUACGUAUGGAUCUGUAAUUGUGUUAAGGUUUGGGCUUCCCUUAAAUAAAAUCAUAAUUCUGUAUAC